CACAUCAAGUUUUCACAUUUCCAUUGACAACAAUCAAAACAUGCAUAUAUAAUAGAAUUGAGCUCCUAUGCUUUUAAAAGUAUCAAAUUAUUGAUGCUUGUAGAUUUUUAGCCAUUGGAUUAAGAGAUAUGCGGUUAGGAUGAUGUGGGCCCCUUAGGGUUGAGUGGGUGAUUGGUUGAAUAGUAUAAUCUAAUGGUUGAAAAUGAUUCGAUGAGUAGAUCUGACGAUAAAAAAAACUUACAAGCACCAAGUGCUUGGUGCUUUUACAAGCACCAUAGCUGAACUCUAUAGAAUAUUAUAAAAUACAAAACAAUUUAAGUUUGUAGAGAUAAACGGCUAUUUUAUGUAAUAGUAGGGACGUCAUUUGGUUGCAUGCAGUUGUAAUUAUACUGCAGUUAUAAUUGCAUACAAAUACAAAUUCGGUAUUUGAUUUGAUGCAUAUAUUUAACUCCAACUGUCACAGUAUAAACUGCAGGAGGAGGCCCAACUACAACAGUUGGAACUACGUUCAAAUAGACUGCAGUUCCAACUAGAGCACUUGUAAAGAAUAAUUUUAAACAACAUGUAUGCUUACCUCCUUAAUUAUUUUUUAAAUAUAUAUAUAUUUUUUACAUUAAGGGCCUGUUUGGUUCGAGUUAUGUAAUAUUACAAAGUAUCUCGACAUAUUCAGAUAUCUUAGAUUUCGGCGUGAGAUUACUACUGAUGUUGCAUUAGCGCGUUUGGUUUAAUGCAGUAAUGUAAUACUAGAUUACAGUGUUUAUAGCAUUAACACGUUUGGUUCAGUUUAUAAAAUUUAGUAAUCCUGACAUAAAACUAUAGUUUUUUUUCAAAAUUGCCUUUGUUGUGGUCAUUUGAAUAUCAUUUUUUGCGGAAUAUGACGAAUGGAGGGAAGGAGAUCAUGAUGAUUACCUGGGAGGACGACGCAAUAGAAGGUGAUUGGUGUUCGUGCACGAGAGAGAGAGAGAGAGGGAGAGAGAGAGAGAGAGAGAGAGAGAGAGAGAGUGGCGUACGAGAGAGAGGGGGGAAGGCGAGAGAGAGAUGAAAAUAAUGCUGUUAAUUAGAUUUGGGAUUGUUGGAGGGUAAAAUUAUCAUUUUACAUAAUAUGUCGUAUUAACGGGUUUCAGUAAUGCAAGAUACACGAUCCCUCUUCCGUUAAUAUUUUCGAUAUAAUCCUGCUCGAUUUGUAAUGCUACAUUAACGACUAGAUUACAUAGCGGAUUAACCAAACAUAGUUGUCCUGACAGGAUUGCCUGUAAUCCUGUCAGGAUAACUCGAACCAAACGCACCCUAAAAGUAAUCUCACCAUUAUAUAUAUAUAUAUAUAUAUAAAAUAAUAAAAUUUUAAAAAUUAUUUCUCAACUAUAUAGAACCACUACGUCUUUAAUAACAAGUCAAUUAUUUUUUUUUUUCAAAUAAAAGUACAAUAAAAAUAUUUUUUUACA
rnacentral:lncRNA from 1 species